AAAUUGAAGAGUUUGAUCAUGGCUCAGAUUGAACGCUGGCGGCAGGCCUAACACAUGCAAGUCGAGCGGUAGCACAGAGAGCUUGCUCUCGGGUGACGAGCGGCGGACGGGUGAGUAAUGUCUGGGAAACUGCCUGAUGGAGGGGGAUAACUACUGGAAACGGUAGCUAAUACCGCAUAACGUCGCAAGACCAAAGUGGGGGACCUUCGGGCCUCAUGCCAUCAGAUGUGCCCAGAUGGGAUUAGUAGGUGGGGUAACGGCUCACCUAGGCGACGAUCCCUAGCUGGUCUGAGAGGAUGACCAGCCACACUGGAACUGAGACACGGUCCAGACUCCUACGGGAGGCAGCAGUGGGGAAUAUUGCACAAUGGGCGCAAGCCUGAUGCAGCCAUGCCGCGUGUGUGAAGAAGGCCUUCGGGUUGUAAAGCACUUUCAGCGGGGAGGAAGGCGUUAAGGUUAAUAACCUUGGCGAUUGACGUUACCCGCAGAAGAAGCACCGGCUAACUCCGUGCCAGCAGCCGCGGUAAUACGGAGGGUGCAAGCGUUAAUCGGAAUUACUGGGCGUAAAGCGCACGCAGGCGGUCUGUCAAGUCGGAUGUGAAAUCCCCGGGCUCAACCUGGGAACUGCAUUCGAAACUGGCAGGCUAGAGUCUUGUAGAGGGGGGUAGAAUUCCAGGUGUAGCGGUGAAAUGCGUAGAGAUCUGGAGGAAUACCGGUGGCGAAGGCGGCCCCCUGGACAAAGACUGACGCUCAGGUGCGAAAGCGUGGGGAGCAAACAGGAUUAGAUACCCUGGUAGUCCACGCCGUAAACGAUGUCGAUUUGGAGGUUGUGCCCUUGAGGCGUGGCUUCCGGAGCUAACGCGUUAAAUCGACCGCCUGGGGAGUACGGCCGCAAGGUUAAAACUCAAAUGAAUUGACGGGGGCCCGCACAAGCGGUGGAGCAUGUGGUUUAAUUCGAUGCAACGCGAAGAACCUUACCUGGUCUUGACAUCCACAGAACUUUCCAGAGAUGGAUUGGUGCCUUCGGGAACUGUGAGACAGGUGCUGCAUGGCUGUCGUCAGCUCGUGUUGUGAAAUGUUGGGUUAAGUCCCGCAACGAGCGCAACCCUUAUCCUUUGUUGCCAGCGGUUCGGCCGGGAACUCAAAGGAGACUGCCAGUGAUAAACUGGAGGAAGGUGGGGAUGACGUCAAGUCAUCAUGGCCCUUACGACCAGGGCUACACACGUGCUACAAUGGCAUAUACAAAGAGAAGCGACCUCGCGAGAGCAAGCGGACCUCAUAAAGUAUGUCGUAGUCCGGAUUGGAGUCUGCAACUCGACUCCAUGAAGUCGGAAUCGCUAGUAAUCGUAGAUCAGAAUGCUACGGUGAAUACGUUCCCGGGCCUUGUACACACCGCCCGUCACACCAUGGGAGUGGGUUGCAAAAGAAGUAGGUAGCUUAACCUUCGGGAGGGCGCUUACCACUUUGUGAUUCAUGACUGGGGUGAAGUCGUAACAAGGUAACCGUAGGGGAACCUGCGGUUGGAUCACCUCCUUA
rnacentral:rRNA from 1 species